rnacentral:rRNA from 1 species
UUGGAGGGCAAGUCUGGUGCCAGCAGCCGCGGUAAUUCCAGCUCCAAUAGCGUAUAUUAAAGUUGUUGCAGUUAAAAAGCUCGUAGUUGAAUUUCGGGGUUCUACCGUUGGUCGGGCUAUUGUCUGUACUGGCGUGUAGAAUUUCUACCUUCUGGGGAACUAUCAUGUUAUUAAUUUAGCGUGGUAGGAAACCAGGACCUUUACCUUGAAAAAAUUAGAGUGUUCAAAGCAGGCUUAUGUCUGAAUACAUUAGCAUGGAAUAAUAAAAUAGGACGUUCGAUCCUAUUUUGUUGGUUUCUAGGAUUGACGUAAUGAUCAAUAGGGAUAGUUGGGGGCAUUAGUAUUCAAUUGUCAGAGGUGAAAUUCUUGGAUUUAUUGAAGACUAACUACUGCGAAAGCAUUUGCCAAGGAUGUUUUCAUUAAUCAAGAACGAAAGUUAGGGGAUCGAAGACGAUCAGAUACCGUCGUAGUCUUAACCAUAAACUAUGCCGACUAGGGAUCGGACGAUGUUAACUUUUCUUGACUCGUUCGGCGCCUUACGGGAAA